rnacentral:rRNA from 1 species
UGGCUAACUCCUACGGGAGGCAGCAGCCGCGGUAAUACAGAGGGUGCGAGCGUUAAUCGGAUUUACUGGGCGUAAAGCGUGCGUAGGCGGCUUUUUAAGUCGGAUGUGAAAUCCCCGAGCUUAACUUGGGAAUUGCAUUCGAUACUGGGAAGCUAGAGUAUGGGAGAGGAUGGUAGAAUUCCAGGUGUAGCGGUGAAAUGCGUAGAGAUCUGGAGGAAUACCGAUGGCGAAGGCAGCCAUCUGGCCUAAUACUGACGCUGAGGUACGAAAGCAUGGGGAGCAAACAGGAUUAGAUACCCCGGUAGUCCAGCUGG